AGUGUGCCCCGGACGCAGUGUCCUAGCGCUCGAUCGGGUCAUCCUCUGCAGCCCAGAUUGUCCCUGUCCAAGACUGCGGAAUGAAGAAUCCAGCUUUGAGAACCUGUGUGUAAGCCUUCUCUGGUCAGCAAAGGAAUCUGUGCAGAGCGCCAUGAAUUAGAGGAUGGGGGAAUGAGUGCUUGAAGAUGCCCGAGGUCCAGGUGAGAAAUCAGGGUUGAAAACUGCAUGGAGGAUUCAUCAUUUCUGCCCUGAAUUGGAAUCAAUUCCUUAUUGACUUAUUAUUACUGUAUUAAAAGUGUUUUUAAUUAA
ensembl:processed_transcript AA465934 expressed sequence AA465934